AACGAACGCUGGCGGCAGGCUUAACACAUGCAAGUCGAACGCCCCGCAAGGGGAGUGGCAGACGGGUGAGUAACACGUGGGAACAUGCCCAAAGGUACGGAAUAUCCUCGGGAAACUGGGAGCAAUACCGUAUGUGCCCGAAAGGGGAAAGAUUUAUCGCCUUUGGAUUGGCCCGCGUUGGAUUAGCUAGUUGGUGGGGGAAAAGCCUACCAAGGCGACGGUCCAUAGCUGGUCUGAGAGGACGACCAGCCACACUGGGACUGAGACACGGCCCAGACUCCUACGGGAGGAAGCAGUGGGGAAUCUUGGACAAUGGGCGCAAGCCUGAUCCAGCCAUGCCGCGUGAGUGAUGAAGGCCCUAGGGUUGUAAAACUCUUUCGUGGGGGACGAUAAUGACGGUACCCCAAGAAGAAGCUCCGGCUAACUUCGUGCCAGCCGCCGCAGUAA
rnacentral:rRNA from 1 species